rnacentral:rRNA from 1 species
GAUGAACGCUAGCGGCAGGCCUAAUACAUGCAAGUCGAACGGUAAAUCUUGUGCUUGCACAAGAUACGAGUGGCGCACGGGUGCGUAACGCGUAUGCAACCUACCUUCAACUGGGGGAUAGCCCGGAGAAAUUCGGAUUAAUACCCCAUAGUAUCACCAGAUGGCAUCUGAAGGUGAUUAAAGAUUUAUUGGUUGAAGAUGGGCAUGC